AUAAGCGGAGGAAAAGAAACCAACAGGGAUUGCCUCAGUAACGGCGAGUGAAGCGGCAACAGCUCAAAUUUGAAAUCUGGCCCCCUCUGGGGGUCCGAGUUGUAAUUUGCAGAGGGUGCUUUGGCAUGGGCGGCGGUCUAAGUUCCUUGGAACAGGACAUCGCAGAGGGUGAGAAUCCCGUAUGUGGGCGCCUGCCUUUGCCGUGUAAAGCCCCUUCGACGAGUCGAGUUGUUUGGGAAUGCAGCUCUAAAUGGGAGGUAAAUUUCUUCUAAAGCUAAAUACCGGCCAGAGACCGAUAGCGCACAAGUAGAGUGAUCGAAAGAUGAAAAGUACUUUGGAAAGAGAGUCAAAUAGCACGUGAAAUUGUUGAAAGGGAAGCGCUUGCAGCCAGACGUGCCCGCAGUUGCUCACCCCGGCUCUUGCCUGGGGCACUCUUCUGCGGGCAGGCCAGCAUCAGUUUGGGCGGUCGGAUAAAGGCCUCUGUCAAGUAUCUUCCUCCGGGAUGACCUUAUAGGGGAGGCGCAAUGCGGCCAGCCCGGACUGAGGUCCGCGCAUUUUUGCUAGGAUGCUGGCGUAAUGGCUGUAAGCGGCCCGUCUUGAAACACGGACCAAGGAGUCUAACAUCUAUGCGAGUGUUUGGGUGUCAAGCCCGGGCGCGUAAUGAAAGUGAACGGAGGUGGGAACCCUUCGGGGUGCACCAUCGACCGAUCCUGAUGUCUUCGGAUGGAUUUGAGUAAGAGCAUAGCUGUUGGGACCCGAAAGAUGGUGAACUAUGCUUGAAUAGGGUGAAGCCAGAGGAAACUCUGGUGGAGGCUCGCAGCGGUUCUGACGUGCAAAUCGAUCGUCAAAUUUGGGCAUAGGGGCGAAAGACUAAUCGAACCAUCUAGUAGCUGGUUCCUGCCGAA
rnacentral:rRNA from 1 species